UCUGUUUGUUGCUAGUCUGUCUGCAUUUCUUCCGCUUGUUAUUCCCUGUGUUUCAGGCUGUACCUUGUUGUUUGUUUUCCUGUUCUGUGUUCUCCGUCUCAAGUUUUUGUUUUGUGUUCUGGGUUUCUAGUCCCAGGGUUUUUAUUCCUUUGAAUCUGUUUUAGUUUCUCACAGUUAAGGUUUUGCUUUAGUCUAGUCACUGCCCUGUUCUGGGGCAUUGGUUUCCAUGGGUUUGGAAGUGCUGAAAGAAAGAGGACAAGCUGGUGGUGGAGGAAUAGGUUUCCAGGGAGAAUGAACCAGCUCGGCUUUGGCAGAUGCGACGUUUCUCUAUCACUCUACUACAAGCAGCUCAGGAGUUUCUGGACGCUGAUCUCCACGACCAGGCAUCGCUUUGUUGCCGCACCCCUUAGGUUUGCAUCGUUCAUCAUCUCCACCUCCUUGCCCUCCUGCCACUGUCUCUUGUGGAUCACUGGAAAACGAGGUUGGAAUCAUCCCUCUCGCUCACCAGUCUAGGAGCUCACCUGGCCAGCCACCUCCCCCCAGAACUGUUUACGGUUCAUCCGCCAAUUUAGACCCGCUCUCCUCGUGCCAAGGAUCCCUCCUUUGUGUUGCCAUUAUUUCCUGUGUUCCAGUAAGAUAAACUCGUUGAAACCUUACCAUUACCUCUUGUGCUUGAAUCUCCUUUCGGUUCCAAGUUCUCGGACUAGCCUCUGGGUUCCCAUGACAAGUUUAAGAGGUGUUUACAAUAAAAGGGUUCAAGCUUUGUUGUCAUCUAGUGUUUUCUGAAAAAGUGUGUGUAUGCAUAUGUGUGUAUGUGUCUGUGCAUGUGUAUGCAGAAGGCAUAAAUCUGAAUGUUCUUGUUGUUUUAGACUUCCCAGAGGUGAGGUACUUCACACUCAGGCUGCCCAACAAUGUGACAUGUACACUAGUAUGGCUGGAGAUGUAUAUGCCUGUUUGUACUAUACAUAUCAGUCUAGAACUACAGACAAGCAUGAACACACAUACUGUAUAUAUAAUUUUUCAUUGUCUUCACUGGAACUGAGCCAAAGAAUAGCUCAAUAAACACUUUGAUCAGAUGAUGGAUGAAGCAGUACUUAAGCUGAGUUCUGUUCACAGUUGUAACUAUACAGGAAAUUGUCUCCUAAUACCGGUGAAUCACUAACAACACUGUAGCUAUACAAAGUGUGGCUUAUAAAACUUGGCAUACACCCAGCAAAGCACACUUCUACUAAUAAAUGCACUCCUCAUAGUAAAUCAUAAUAGUGUCCUGUGUGGGUGUGUGUGAAUGUGUAUGAAUUUGUCUUUGAUAUAAAUAAAGAAUCUAAUCCAACUGGCAACUUUAAUUUAAAUAGGAUGAAAACCGACUGUUAUUACAUUAACUGGAAUCAGCAUCAUCAACCACAUAAAUCACAUUAGUGUACCUUUUAUUGAA